rnacentral:rRNA from 1 species
UACGAAGGGUGCAAGCGUUACUCGGAAUUACUGGGCGUAAAGCGUGCGUAGGUGGUGAGUUAAGUCUGUCGUGAAAGCCCCGGGCUCAACCUGGGGAUGGCGAUGGAUACUGGCUCGCUAGAGUGCGGUAGAGGGUGGUGGAAUUCCCGGUGUAGCAGUGAAAUGCGUAGAGAUCGGGAGGAACAUCAGUUGCGAAGGCGGCCACCUGGACCAGCACUGACACUGAGGCACGAAAGCGUGGGGAGCAAACAGG